rnacentral:tmRNA from 1 species
GGGGGCGACUUGGCUUCGACGUGGAUUACAAAACCUUGGGAGCAUGCAGUGGGUUCAGUGACCACUUAAACACUAGCUGGAAACUUUUAGUUGCCAAUGAUGACAACUACGCUUUAGCUGCUUAAUAAGUUAGCUGAAUCUUCGCCUGAGUUCUCCUGUAGACCCAGUGUCGAAGAUCAUUCAUACAGGAUCGCGCACGAAGCACGUUUGGGGCGGAGUCGUUAAAACUUACCAAAACCGCUGGUAGAAACCCUGUCUCUCGGGUAGCUACUGGUUAAACUAAUAGAGUGACUAAGCAUGUAGCGCCUUCAGGCAGCGGAUUUGCGGACGGGGGUUCGAUUCCCCCCGCCUCCACCA